AGCGAUGUCCAGUAGCGGCGAGUGAAGCGGCAAGAGCUCAGAUUUGAAAUCGUGCUAAUUUUUUUGGCACGAGUUGUAGAGUGUAGGCGGGAGUCUUUGUGGAGCACGGUGUCCAAGUCCCUUGGAACAGGGCGCCUGAGAGGGUGAGAGCCCCGUGGGGUGCCGUGCGAAGCUUUGAGGCCCUGCUGACGAGUCGAGUUGUUUGGGAAUGCAGCUCCAAGUGGGUGGUAAAUUCCAUCUAAGGCUAAAUACUGGCGAGAGACCGAUAGCGAACAAGUACUGUGAAGGAAAGAUGAAAAGCACUUUGAAAAGAGAGUGAAACAGCACGUGAAAUUGUUGAAAGGGAAGGGUAUUGGGCCCGACAUGGGGAGUGCGCACCGCUGUCUCUUGUAGGCGGCGCUCUGGGCGCUCUCUGGGCCAGCAUCGGUUCUUGCUGCGGGAGAAUGGGUGCCGGAAAGUGGCUCUUCGGAGUGUUAUAGCCGGCGCCAGAUACCGCGUGCGGGGACCGAGGACUGCGGCUUCUGUCUCGGAUGCUGCA
rnacentral:rRNA from 1 species